UUGUCAUCAACGAAUAUACAAAGCUUUCUUCACUUAUGCUUACGAUUCCAAGGGGUGCUUCUUUAUAUCCAUUGGUCCCUUCCAUUAUAGAAUUGAAGCAUGACAGGAGACCUCAAAUGGAUAUUGUUGAUGUGGUUGGGAGAAUAAUAGAAGGCAAACGUGAUCGAUGUUGUUUUGAACUUUCUCUUCAAGAUAAGACUGGUCACACAAUACAAUUGUUUUUGUCUGCCUUGAAG